rnacentral:rRNA from 1 species
AUUGAACGCUGGCGGCAUGCUUUACACAUGCAAGUCGAACGGCAGCACGGGGGUAACCCUGGUGGCGAGUGGCGAACGGGUGAGUAAUGCAUCGGAACAUAUCUUAAAGUGGGGAAUAACGCAUCGAAAGGUGUGCUAAUACUCCAUAUACUCUAAGGAGGAAAGCGGGGGAUCGAAAGACCUCGUGCUUUAAGGGUGGCCGAUGUCUGAUUAGCUAGUUGGUGGGGUAAAGGCUUACCAAGGCGACGAUCAGUAGCUGGUCUGAGAGGACGAUCAGCCACACUGGGACUGAGACACGGCCCAGACUCCUACGGGAGGCAGCAGUGGGGAAUUUUGGACAAUGGGCGAAAGCCUGAUCCAGCCAUGCCGCGUGAGUGAAGAAGGCCU